AAAUUGAAGAGUUUGAUCAUGGCUCAGAUUGAACGCUGGCGGCAGGCCUAACACAUGCAAGUCGAACGGUAACAGAAAGCAGCUUGCUGCUUUGCUGACGAGUGGCGGACGGGUGAGUAAUGUCUGGGAAACUGCCUGAUGGAGGGGGAUAACUACUGGAAACGGUAGCUAAUACCGCAUAACGUCGCAAGACCAAAGAGGGGGACCUUCGGGCCUCUUGCCAUCGGAUGUGCCCAGAUGGGAUUAGCUAGUAGG
rnacentral:rRNA from 1 species